rnacentral:lncRNA from 1 species
CCUGGAAAAAGAAUACACCAGUACAGAGAUGACUCUUCUAUGCCUGCAGGUAGCUUCUGCCCUGUCAAUUGGCAAGUGUGGCUCAGUAAGUGUCUUAUCUGGAAUUCAUUUACAGAGCUCAUGAAGCAAAAAAUUCAGAUAUGGAGCCUAAAAAGCAGUACAUGUGCCUUGUUCUGGCACCAGAUGAGGAAGAACAGCAGUCAAGUGCUGGCCCCCAGAUGCCCCACAGUCCCUUGCAGCUGCAGAAGACAAGAAAACCUUAAUGACGACUUCUCAUGUUGUCUUUCCAUCAUGGCUGCAAGGAGUCAGAGAAAAUUAGCACUCAGAAUCAGAUGCUACAUUCAUUUCUCAAAUGUUACACAAGUGUUUUUCAAAUAA